rnacentral:rRNA from 1 species
AUGGCGGCACACGCUCCAGCGCCUGCCCCUGCGGGACCAACACCGGGACAAUUGUUAGGAGCUGUCGUUAAUCCACCUGUUGCUCUUGGUCUUCUUGUCGCUAAUAAAAUCUGGGAUCCGCUUGCCGAUUACAUUGGAUACCCCUGUGACCGCGAGCGUCGCAUCGAUGACCACAAACAAGCAGUGCUGAGGGUGAUAGCGAUGAAGGAUGAUUUUCUUCUUAUAGGGCCAUGUCCCCCAUCUCUUCAGUCAAGGCACUGGAUCAAAUGUGUUGAACAAUUGGAGAAGACAUUUUCAGAAAUCCAGGAAAAGUAUCUCAGGGGCGGUUACUUCAACACAUGCUCGUGUGCUAGAGAAGCCAUCAAAGAAACGAAGCGGGCUGAAGAACUUGCAGGUCAGUACAAAGACCUCUGCAUAGACAUAAAAGCUAGACUACUCCCUGUCAAUGUGUCACAGUGGGAAGAUUUGUCCCUUGUUACUAAUUCAUACAAGGAUUUGGUGAUUAAGUUCAUCAAUGACACAAGUGGAAAGGCCAGGUUGCUGGGCAUCUGGGGUAUGGCGGGUAUUGGAAAGUCUACUUUGUUGAGACAGGUUUCAAAGUCCCGCUCUGAGUUCAUUUCUGACGGGGAUGAUUUGAUUGUGUUAAUUGUUGACACUGGUUCAGACUACUCAGUUGCUAAGGUGCAGAAGUGUCUGAUUGGACUUCUAGGAGUAACAGUAGCAGCUGAUGUUACUGAAGCUGGUGUUGCGCUGGCUAUUUCUAACCGUCUCAGGGGGAUGCGCUUUCUGGUCAUGUUUGAUGAUCUUUCUGGUCCUAUCAACCUUGCUCGAAUUGGCAUACCAGAUGCCCCUCCAGCUAGUCUUAAAUGCCAGAAAGUUGUGUUCACUACACAAAAACAAGCAGUCUGUGCGUCAAUGGGUGCUGAUGAAACCAUACACAUGGUUUGUCCAAGCGAGAUAGAGGCAGAAAAACUGUUCAAUCAUGCCGUGGGAGCAGACAUUCUGAAAGAUAAAAGGAUAUCUUCCCUUUCUCAAGAUGCGCAGGAUGAGACUCAAGAUGCGCAGCAACUACUCCAUGUCCUUCAAAUGGUUGCAAUAAGAGGUUUAUCAAAACUCAGAGAAGUUAAUCUCAAAACCGUGGGUGUGAGCAUCACAUCAAUCAGUAUAUCUGUCUGUCCUGCACUAAUUGAUUUGUCAUGGAUCAAGGAUCUCAUCAACCUUGAGCAACUUUCCGUCACUCAGUGCAGGAUGUUAAACAAAAUACUGUCUCUGGAUGUAGUACAGCAAGACACAAUCAGUAUGCCAAAACUCAAGACUGUUCACCUAGAGGGAUUGGAGGAGCUUACAGUCAUAGCUGAUUUAACCCUUAAAUUGGAUAAUAUUGUGCAUUUUUCAGUGUUCUUGUGCAGCAAGUUAGUUGGCUUACCUGUGGUGGGCGAGCGCAAACCAAAAGUUAUACUGGACUGCGAUAUAAGUUUCUCUGAUAAAAUUUUGCAAGAUGGCAACGAGUCUCCUUACAGCAUAAGAGUGGCUUGA